UUCCGGCGGAAGUGGGUUCUCCUUCACUGUGGGCUGGAGAAGAUGCUUCGUCCCGUAGGGUGGUGGCUCAAUCUCGGAUUGUGCAGCCUCCUGCUAGGGCAGGCGGAGGCCCCGAGCCCGGUGGAACCGCCGGAACGGAGCAGGCCGUAUGCAGUGCUACGUGGGCAGAACCUGGUGUUGAUGGGAACCAUUUUCAGCAUCCUGCUGGUGACCAUGAUCCUUAUGGCAUUUUGCGUCUACAAGCCCAUUCGGCGUCGGUGACAGUGAGAAACCAAGUCCUUCCACAAGUAUUUGGUAAAGAAUAAGUUGCAUUGUGCAUGGAUCAGUGGAGAAGCUGGAAUCAGAAGUUUACUGCUUGGAAAUGAUUUUUGUCUGGACACUUGGUAAAUGCUGAAUGAUUUAGAAAAAACAUCUAGCUGUUUUCUUUCUAACACUGUAAUGCAAGUAUUUGGCCACUGAGUCUGCUUCUCAGUGUUUCUUUUUCUAUAUGGCUCUGCUUGUUAAAAGUAAGACCUGAAGCUCCAAGGUUCAGUGUAAAGAUGGCAUGCUCUCGAGAGAGACAACUUUGUGAGUGAUGUAAAAACCACACUGGAAAGGACUGAUCGUUAAUGUUUGAAAAUACGAAGGAGAGGACGACUUAACUUGUCGACCUGCCCAACUUAAGACCCAUUCAACCACAGUGGUUUAAGAAUCACAAAUGUUUUUAAUUGUCCUGAGUUGCGUGGGCCUAGAAUGCCGUUUGCAAAGCAAUGUCAUUUGUGGGGAAUGUAGGCUGCCACUCCUCACGCUGCAGGGAGCUCUGCAUUCAGAUGACUCCACUGAAGUCAAGGUCACACCAGGUAGGCCUAGGACCACGGGCAGUCUUGGGCUGCAAGGUUCUGGGGUUGGACUGGAAGUGUUAGCAGUUGGUCUAUCUGAAAAAGAACUGAUCCUGCACUUAAGUCUUUCCAGCCCAUGCCCUAGACGUCCUGGCAGCCUUUCUGAUUUGGAGUCCAUAAGAGGCUCAGCAGGAGUUCUUUUCAGCCCUGGGUGGGGAGAAUGCAACAGAAGUACCAAGUGCGUGUUCACUGUACGAGGCAGAGUGGCAGGCUGAGUGUGUGUUUACACAAAUUUAAUUUCAACUUUGAAAAUGCUGCUAUUUGUUUGUACUGUUGGUGAACUGGAUAUCUCCCUGCUCCCCACAGAACUGGUAUUUUUGUACUUAACAGUAUUUAUUUUAAAGCUGCUGGGUUUAACUGUGUUGUUAAAUUAAAAUGCGCCGUAUCUUGUUUGUGCUCCAUUCAAGCACAGCACUGUUUUUUGUUUGUUAUUUUUAACAACCUGCACUUAAUGUGAAAUAACUUAUGCGGGAUGCUGUAACUGUUUGACUGAAGGAUUUUGUUUGUAACCCUAACACUGAGCCACUGAAAUAUUGUUUUGUGCUUUUGAGCAAAAUGUGAAUUAAAACUAAAGUAAAAUCUUA